UAGUUGCCCCUGGAGCCACCACUGUGCUUCAGCACCUUCCAUAAAUAUAAGAAUCCAGAGUGACACGUGCAGUGGAGAGCACUCCGGUCACAGACCUGUAUUCAAAUCCUGACUCUAGGACCUAACAGCUGUAUGACCUUGGGCUAGCUCCCUUGGGCUCUUCAUCUACUAAAUGAGAGGAAGAAUUUCAAACUUUAAACAUUGUUUGAGAAUAAACUGAAAUAAGAUAAAAUCCAUAGAGUUCAGAUGCUGAAGCUGAAGCUCCAAUUCUUUGGCUACCUGUUGUGAAGAAGCAACUUAUUGGAAAAGACCCUGGUGCUGGGAAAGAUUGAGGGCAGGAGGAGAAGGGGGUGACAGAGGAUGAGAUGGUUGGAUGGCAUCAUUGACUCAAUGGAUAUGAGUUUGAGCAAACUCUGGGAGAUAGUGAAGGACAGGGAAGCCUAGCAUGCUGCUCUCCAUGGAGUUGCAGAGUCAGACGACAGAGUGACUGAACAAAAAAAAUAGAGUUCUUAAUGCAAGAGGGUUCAAUAAAUGUACCCACAAGCGUGGUCCACUCUGAUAAGAUCUGAUUGUCUUUGGUAAGCCUGGGAGACCAGCAGCCCUGAGUUUUGCUCCCUCUGUUACAGAUGCACCAGACCUCCAGUUUCCUGGGUCCUCCACUCCCUUGGCUCAGAUGGACGAAUGGGACCAUGGAAGAGCUGGAGGCUGCACUUGGAUGGAACCGACCCUUGGCCCUCAGCUGGAAACGUAGAGAGGUCAGCUGUCAGCUGGGCACUGGACUGGACACUGAGGGGCCUUGAAUGACAGACCAAAGGGUGGGCUAAUUUAACUAGAUCCAUUUGUUCCUAGUGAUCGGAAUCUAAGUGCUCAUCAGUGAGUUUCUGUACCUUAUUUUAUAACAUUUUGCUUUUUCAUCAGUUGGAAAAUGCAGUACAGUUGCCUUUUUGGAGGUACACCUCUAUGCGUAUUAACAGUGUAUAAGUGGGAGUGACCACUUCUAUCUCAGGACACAGAACAGUCCCCCAGGCAAAAACGUCCCAUGCCACUUUGUCAUCCACAUCUUCUCCCUCCACCCUUGACUCUUAACAACUAUACUUUUGUCUGUUCGAGAAUAUCAUAUAAAUAAAAGAAAUUAUGCUGAGAGAGCCA
rnacentral:lncRNA from 1 species